rnacentral:rRNA from 1 species
GACGUAGGGCGCGAGCGUUGUCCGGAUUUAUUGGGCGUAAAGAGCUCGUAGGCGGUUUGUCGCGUCUGCUGUGAAAACUCGGGGCUUAACUCCGGGCCUGCAGUGGGUACGGGCAGACUAGAGUGCGGUAGGGGAGACUGGAAUUCCUGGUGUAGCGGUGAAAUGCGCAGAUAUCAGGAGGAACACCGGUGGCGAAGGCGGGUCUCUGGGACGGUACUGACGCUGAGACGCGAAAGCGUGGGGAGCGAACAGG